GCCUGGUUUUCUAAAAUGGCAUGGGCUUCCAUUUCAAAGUAACUCGCCUCACCCCCUUGCAGCUGGGAGAUGAGUAAGACAGUAAAUUGGUCCUAGAAAAUGAGGAGAUCAAGAGCGAUGCUAAAGCCACUGCUACCAGCUAUCACAAAGAGGAGAAAGGCUUCAACAUCAACCAGGACAAAGCAGAAAAUCUUUCCUCUCUAGACUUCAUUUAAGUUCAGGCAACAUGUUGCUUCAAAGAAAGUCCCACCUGAUCAGGGGACACCAACUGCGCAGCUGUUUCCACUAAAGACUGGCACCUCUAGGCCAGGUUUAAACUUCGUAACAAUAAAACAUGAAAGGUCU